CCUACGGGUGGCAGCAGUGAGGAAUAUUGGUCAAUGGACGAGAGUCUGAACCAGCCAAGUAGCGUGAAGGAUGACUGCCCUAUGGGUUGUAAACUUCUUUUAUAUGGGAAUAAAAUGUUCCACGUGUGGGAUUUUGUAUGUACCAUAUGAAUAAGGAUCGGCUAACUCCGUGCCAGCAGCCGCGGUAAUACGGAGGAUCCGAGCGUUAUCCGGAUUUAUUGGGUUGAAAGGGUGUGUAGGUGGGUUGUUAAGUCAGUUGUGAAAGGUUGGGGCUCAACCGUAAAAUUGCAGUUGAAACUGGAAGUCUUGAGUACAGUAGAGGUGGGCGGAAUUCGUGGUGUAGCGGUGAAAUGCUUGGAUAGCACGAAGAACUCCGAUUGCGAAGGCAGCUCACUGGACUGCAACUGACACUGAGGCUCGAAAGUGUGGGUAUCAAACAGGAUUAGAUACCCUUGUAGUC
rnacentral:rRNA from 1 species